GUUGUUGUGUAAGCUUCUCAUCGGUACGAUACACUCCAAAAAUAACUAGUUAAACCUUUGCUCCUGACAGCCACGCACAGAUCACACACCCGCCUCCAUCUGUGCUGCAGUCACCCUGUUUCCCACUGACAAGGUCAGCCAACAAAAGUAUGGGAUCUCCACCUUCUGGAGACAGCAGCGCUGGAGCUUUGCAUCCACCCACAAUGAUGCAGGGAAGAAGAGCUGCAAGAAAAACAAGACAGAGCUUCCAUCAGCCUGUACCUGAGGUCCUGCCUUCCACCUGCCUGACCAUCUGGAUCGGGACUGGAGCCAGUCCUGUCAUGCACCGGUGCCAGGGAUAAAGCUGCAGGAUAUGGAUUUGUCCUCCAUCUAACCUACCCGGAAUCAACCUUUGGAAGGGAGCCAAGCCCUCUUUGUCACAGCCAGUGGCCCUUUUAUAUUCGGUUCCCUUGUUUUUUCAGUUAUAAUUUGGGAGUCCUUAUAGUUACUUACCUGAGUGUGACAGACCCAGACCUGUGGGGUACAGGAGUCUGGGUAGAGGGCAAA